rnacentral:lncRNA from 1 species
AGGGGGAGGGUAAGGUUUUAGAAAGGAAAACAAAUUACGAGUGUAAAACAGAAGUAUUAAUACUGCUAGGUUGUGUAUUAGAAUCCCUUUAUCCUCUCUUGUUGAUGUAUGAUGCCUUGUAUGAAUGGUCUAAUCCUUAUAAUAUCACGGUGAACUAACAAAACUGUUAUAGCAUAUCCCUCACGAAAUAAAUCACUAACUACUUCUCGGAGCUUUCUAUCUCUAGUCCCCCAACAUAUGCAG